rnacentral:rRNA from 1 species
CAGUCGAGGGGCAGCGCGGGGUAGCAAUACUCUGGCGGCGACCGGCGGAAGGGUGCGUAACACGUGAGCGACUUGCCCGAUACAGGGAGAUAACCGGUGGAAACGCCGACUAAUAUCCCAUAGGACUUGAGGCUGCAUGGCCUUGAGUUGAAAGGUUCGCCGGUAUCGGAUAGGCUCGCGGGACAUUAGCUUGAUGGCGGGGCAACGGCCCACCAUGGCGACGAUGUCUAGGGGUUCUGAGAGGAAGACCCCCCACACUGGGACUGAGACACGGCCCAGACUCCUACGGGAGGCAGCAGUGAGGAAUAUUGGUCAAUGGGCGGAAGCCUGAACCAGCCAUGCCGCGUGAAGGACUAAGGCCCUAUGGGUCGUAAACUUCUUUAGACGCAGAGCAAUAAGGGCCUCGCGAGGUCCGAUGAGAGUAUGCGUAGAAUAAGCAUCGGCUAACUCCGUGCCAGCAGCCGCGGUAAUACGGGGGAUGCGAGCGUUAUCCGGAUUUAUUGGGUUUAAAGGGUGCGUAGGCGGCGAAUUAAGUCAGCGGUGAAAGACCGGGGCUCAACCCUGGAAGU